GGAGAGGUGGCCGAGUGGUCGAAGGCACGCCCCUGCUAAGGGCGCAGACGGGGAACCGUCUCGAGGGUUCGAAUCCCUUCCUCUCCGCCA
rnacentral:tRNA from 3 species